rnacentral:tRNA from 1 species
AUAGCUGUGGCCCGAACUGGACUAGGCACCAUCCUACGAAGUUGGUAAAUGCAGGUUCGAAUCCUGUCAGCUAUG